CCUACGGGUGGCAGCAGUAGGGAAUCUUCCACAAUGGGCGAAAGCCUGAUGGAGCAACGCCGCGUGGGUGAAGAAGGUCUUCGGAUCGUAAAACCCUGUUGUUAGAGAAGAAAGUGCGUGCGAGUAACUGUUCACGUUUCGACGGUAUCUAACCAGAAAGCCACGGCUAACUACGUGCCAGCAGCCGCGGUAAUACGUAGGUGGCAUGCGUUAUCCGGAUUUAUUGGGCGUAAAGGGAACGCAGGCGGUCUUUUAAGUCUGAUGUGAAAGCCUUCGGCUUAACCGGAGUAGUGCAUGGGAAACUGAGAGACUUGAGUGCAGAAGAGGAGAGUGGAACUCGAUGUGUAGCGGUGAAAUGCGUAGAUAUAUGGAAGAACACCAGUGGCGAAAGCGGCACGCUGGUCUGUAACUGACGCUGAGGUUCGAAAGCGUGGGUAGCAAACAGGAUUAGAUACCCCGGUAGUC
rnacentral:rRNA from 1 species